CAGCAGCCGCGGGAAUACGAAGGGUGCAAGCGUUAAUCGGAAUUACUGGGCGUGAAGCGUGCGUAGGCGGUUUGUUAAGUCUGUUGUGAAAUCCCCGGGCUCAACCUGGGAAUGGCAAUGGAUACUGGCAAGCUAGAGUGUGUCAGAGGAUGGUGGAAUUCCCGGUGUAGCGGUGAAAUGCGUAGAGAUCGGGAGGAACAUCAGUGGCGAAGGCGGCCAUCUGGGACAACACUGACGCUGAGGCACGAAAGCGUGGGGAGCAAACAGGAUUAGAUACCCCGGUAGUCCCUGUCUCUUAUAC
rnacentral:rRNA from 1 species